rfam:Nicotiana attenuata strain TT chromosome 3, whole genome shotgun sequence.
UUGAGCCGUAUGAGGUAAGAAAUUCUCAAGUACGGUUCUUAGGGAAGGAAUUGAACUACCUAUUCCGGC